CAAGGAUUUCCAACCUUAAAGUGAGCUUGAAGUGGGGGCGCUUGUUAUCUAGCUUUCUCCUUACGCAUUUUCUCUUUGGCUUAGAUAUAGUUUUUGUGCAUUACUCCCUCUUGCUCUAAGAUCUUAGUCCUGUCUACUAUGUUUGCUCCAAGAUCUAUCUCAAUGUUCUUGGACUUGAAUUGAAUGUGCCAAUUCAAUCUCCCCUGUCGCGUAGAUCUUAAGCUUAAUCUAUAACUUUGUAUAAAGGUAAUAGUAACAAAAUAGGUACAGUUUUAUUAGGCUAUCUCCCACUCUAUAAAGCC